rnacentral:rRNA from 1 species
UACAGAGGGGCGUAGCGUUGUUCGGAAUUACUGGGCGUAAAGCGCACGUAGGCGGAUUGUUAAGUUAGGGGUGAAAUCCCAGGGCUCAACCCUGGAACUGCCUUUAAUACUGGCAAUCUCGAGUCCGAGAGAGGUGAGUGGAAUUCCGAGUGUAGAGGUGAAAUUCGUAGAUAUUCGGAGGAACACCAGUGGCGAAGGCGGCUCACUGGCUCGGUACUGACGCUGAGGUGCGAAAGCGUGGGGAGCAAACAGG